rnacentral:rRNA from 1 species
UACGAAGGGGGCGAGCGUUGUUCGGAAUCACUGGGCGUAAAGGGCGCGUAGGCGGCCCUCUUAGUCGCGUGUGAAAGCCCCGGGCUCAACCUGGGAACGGCGCGCGAAACGGGAGGGCUGGAGUUCGGGAGAGGAGAGUGGAAUUCCCAGUGUAGAGGUGAAAUUCGUAGAUAUUCGCAAGAACACCAGUGGCGAAGGCGGCUCACUGGCCCGAUACUGACGCUGAGGUGCGAAAGCGUGGGGAGCAAACAGG